rnacentral:misc_RNA from 1 species
UCCGGUUUGGCACCGGCAGUCUCCCAUGAGUCCCCGACAUGACUCGCUGGCAACAUGGGACAGGGGUUGCGCUCGUUGCGCCACUUAAGGCAGCACCUCACGGCACGAGCUGACGACGGCCAUGCAACACCUGUGCACGAGCCCCGAAGGGCUGCCGUAUCUCUACGACAUUCCCGUGCAUGUCAAACCCAGGUAAGGUUCUUCGCGUCGCAUCGAAUUAAGCCACAUGCUCCGCCGCUUGUGCGGGCCCCCGUCAAUUCCUUUGAGUUUUAGCCUUGCGGCCGUACUCCCCAGGCGGGGCACUUAAUGCGUUAGCUACGGCACGGAGUCCGUCGAUAGAACCCCACACCUAGUGCCCAACGUUUACGGCGUGGACUAC